AAUGAACGUUGGCGGCGUGGAUUAGGCAUGCAAGUCGAGCGAGAAACCUCCUUCGGGAGGUGGAAAGCGGCGAAAGGGAGAGUAACGCGUGGAUACCUGCCCUCGGGUUCGGGAUAGCUGCUGGAAACGGCAGGUAUACCGAAUGAUAUCUCCGGAUCCAAGGGGUGAUUCCGCCCGGGGAUGGGUCCGCGUCCUAUUAGCUAGUUGGUGAGGUAACGGCUCACCAAGGCAACGAUGGGUAGUGGGUGUGAGAGCACGACCCACCUCACUGGGACUGAGACACUGCCCAGACACCUACGGGUGGCUGCAGUCGAGGAUCUUCGGCAAUGGGCGCAAGCCUGACCGAGCGACGCCGCGUGCGGGAUGAAGGCCUUCGGGUUGUAAACCGCUUUCGGAGGGGAUGAAAUGCGUGGGGGUUCUCCCCCACGUUUGACAUAGCCUCUAAAGAAGUACGGGCUAAGUUCGUGCCAGCAGCCGCCGUAACAC
rnacentral:rRNA from 1 species